GAAAAAAAAAGGACUAUACGGCGGAUG
rnacentral:sRNA from 1 species